rnacentral:lncRNA from 1 species
CCUGCCCCCAAAACAUUGCUCCUAACUCUACCGCCUAUCCCAAAACCUGUAAGAACUAAUGAUAAUCCCACCACCCUUUGCUGACUCUCUUUUUGGACUCAGCCCGCCUGCACCCAGGUGAAAUAAACAGCCUUGUUGCUCACACAAAGCCUGUUUGGUGGUCUCUUCACACAGACGUGUUAGACAUUUGGUGCCGAAGACCCGGGUCAGAGGGACUCCUUCGGGAGUCCCUUGUCCUCACCCUCACUUCGUGAAGAGAUCCACCUACAAUCUCCGGUCCUCAGACCAACCAGUCCAAGGAACAUCGCACCAAUUUCAAAUUGGCUACUUGCCUCUGCUGUAAGACAACCCACAACCACGUCUCCAGCAUACAAGAACUUCAGAACAUCAAAGCCACAGCUCCCAGGGGCUCCUUCAAAACAUCCUCGUGGACCUUGCUUCAAAUGCCAAAAGCCUGGCCACUGGGCCUCAGUAUGCCCGCAGCCUGGGAUUCCUCCUAAGCCGUGCCCUGCCUGUGCUGGCCCCCACUGGAGGUCGGACUGCCCGACUCACAUCGCUGCCGCUCCUAAAGCCCCUGGAACCCAGACCCAACGUUCUUUGGCCGACUCAUUCCCAGAUCUCCUCGGCUUAGCAGCUGAAGACUGAUGCCGCCUGAUCGCCUCGGAAGCCCCCUGGACCAUCACAGACACCGAGCUUUGGGUAACUCUUACAGUGGAGGGUAAGUCCGUCCCCUCUUUAAUUGAUAUGGGGGCUACCCACUACACAUUACCUUCUUUUCAAGGGCCUGUUUCCCUUGCCCCCAUAACUGUUGUGGGUAUUAAUGGCCAAGCCCCAAAACCCCUUAAAACUCUCCAACUCUGGUGCCAACUUGGACAACAUUCUUUUAUGCACUCCUUUUAAUUAUCCCCAACUGCCCAGCUCCCUUAUUAGGUCGAGACAUUUUAACUAAAUUAUCUGCUUCCCUGACUAUUCCUGGGCUACAGCCACACCUCAUUGCUGCCUUUCCCCCAGUUCAAAGCCUCCUUCACAUCCUCUCCUUGUAUCUCCCCACCUUAAUCCACAAGUAUAGGACACCUCUACUCCCUCCUUGGCGAUGGAUGAUGGACCCCUUAUCAUCCCAUUAAAACUUAAUCACUCUUACCCCGCUCAAUGCCAAUAUCCCAUCCCACAGCAUGCUUAGGAGGAUUAAAGCCUGUUAUCACUCACCUGCUACAGCAUGGCCUUUUAAAGCGUAUAAACUCUCCUUACAAUUCCUCCAUUUUACCUGUCCAGAAACUGGACAAGUCUUACAGGUUAGUUCAGGAUCUGCGCCUUAUCAACCAAAUUGUCUUGCCUAUUCACCCCAUGGUGCCAAAGCCAUAUACUCUCCUAUCCUCAAUACCUCCCUCCACAGCCCAUUAUUCUGUUCUAG